rnacentral:rRNA from 1 species
GGGGAUGUUCCAAUGGAGAUUCAAGACAUUGAGCAUUGUGGAAUUGAGGUCGAUAGCAAGAUAAAAUGUUUCCAUGGGGAUGAUCCAAUUAAAAAGGUUGCAUUUGAGGGUGUGGACACAGGAAGAAGAUUCAUCGCUUGUAAGAAUGCAAAACCUUGUAAAUUUCGAAUUUGGUAUGAGCCAGAGUGGCCUGCAACUUUGCAACAAGCUCUACAACAAUUGUGGGGCAUGGUUCAGACAAACCAGAAGAAAAAGGAGGAGUCCAAGGCCCUUGUCAACCAGAUGAUGUUGGAGAAAAUGACAUUUGCAGCUGCAAAUGCUUCUGUCACUCAGGAGAAGAAUGAGGUUGUACAGAAGAAGAUGCAACUAGAAUUAGAUGUGGCUGAUAUGAAGGAGAAGUACCAGAGGAAGAUGAAAAGAAUGAAAAGAGAGCUUCAGUGCAAGGAGAAGUGGCUACUGAUGUCAGUUAGCUGCAAUGUAACUGUUGUGGCUGUAGUAAUUUGUCUGUUUGCAAUGAAGCUACUA